rnacentral:rRNA from 1 species
CCUACGGGGGGCAGCAGUGAGGAAUAUUGGUCAAUGGGCGAGAGCCUGAACCAGCCAAGUCGCGUGAAGGAUGACGGCCCUACGGGUUGUAAACUUCUUUUGUCAGGGAGCAAUUGGGUCCACGCGUGGGCUUAGCGAGAGUACCUGAAGAAAAAGCAUCGGCUAACUCCGUGCCAGCAGCCGCGGUAAUACGGAGGAUGCGAGGGUUAUCCGGGUUUAUUGGGUUUAAGGGGUGCGUAGGCGGAAUAUCAGGGCGGCGUGAAAAAUUGGGGGCUAACCCCCGUCGUGCCGUUGAAACUGAUGGGCUUGAGUGGGCGAGAAGUAUGCGGAAUGCGUGGUGUAGCGGUGAAAUGCAUAGAUAUCACGCAGAACUCCGAUUGCGAAGGCAGCAUACCGGCGCCCAACUGACGCUGAAGCACGAAAGCGUGGGUAGCGAACAGGAUUAGAUACCCGGGUAGUC